rnacentral:rRNA from 1 species
CCUACGGGGGGCUGCAGUGGGGAAUAUUGCACAAUGGGGGAAACCCUGAUGCAGCGACGCCGCGUGAGCGAAGAAGUAUUUCGGUAUGUAAAGCUCUAUCAGCAGGGAAGAAACUGACGGUACCUGACUAAGAAGCACCGGCUAAAUACGUGCCAGCAGCCGCGGUAAUACGUAUGGUGCAAGCGUUAUCCGGAUUUACUGGGUGUAAAGGGAGCGUAGACGGAUAGGCAAGUCUGGAGUGAAAGCCCGGGGCUCAACCCCGGGACUGCUUUGGAAACUGUUUAUCUAGAGUGCUGGAGAGGUAAGUGGAAUUCCUAGUGUAGCGGUGGAAUGCGUAGAUAUUAGGAGGAACACCAGUGGCGAAGGCGGCUUACUGGACAGUAACUGACGUUGAGGCUCGAAAGCGUGGGGAGCAAACAGGAUUAGAUACCCUUGUAGUC